CAGCCGCCACGGUAAUACGUAGGUGGCAAGCGUUGUCCGGAAUUAUUGGGCGUAAAGGGCUCGCAGGCGGUUUCUUAAGUCUGAUGUGAAAGCCCCCGGCUCAACCGGGGAGGGUCAUUGGAAACUGGGAAACUUGAGUGCAGAAGAGGAGAGUGGAAUUCCACGUGUAGCGGUGAAAUGCGUAGAGAUGUGGAGGAACACCAGUGGCGAAGGCGACUCUCUGGUCUGUAACUGACGCUGGGGUGCGAAAGCAUGGGGAGCAAACAGGAUCAGAUACCCCUGUAGUCCCUGUCUCUUAUAC
rnacentral:rRNA from 1 species